GCCUACUCUUUUUGCCAAAAAGAAAUCAGUUUUUUUUUAUUUUUUGGUACAAAAUAAUACUAGGAUCUGUAAGCUAUACAUUCUAUAGAUUAACAACGUAAAUUAUUAUUUUUAAAUACAAAUGAAGAAGGUGCGACCCAAUUGGCGAUUAACCACCAGGCCUGAUGACAUUUAGUGCUCUACAAGAAUAAAUAUUUUGGGAGUGACUUAUAAACAGGCGACUGAUUUUAAAUUGGUGUCAGGUCGUUUUUUAUUCCACUCAAUGAUUGUCACGUGUCUAAGUAUAUACUCUGUCUAGAAACUCAUUAGUGCACAAAAACGUCUGUUUUCUUUCCUGCUUCAGGUCGAAAAUCUGCCGAAGCCUCUUGGGCUCCUUCUAGUUUACGUAAAAGGAACCUGCCCCUGAAACGGGCCGCCUAGCAGACCCGUUAAUGCAAAAGCGCUAAGGCUGACUAACAAAAGGAACCCACGCUGCCCUCCCUUCCCUGAAAUUUUCAUUUAUAUAUACAUGCUGCAUUUAUGUGAUGAUCACCUUACAUGUGAAUCAUUUAUACAUAAGGAAAAUGUACUAGAGUUAGAUAAGGCUUGUGUCCCUGUUGUUCCACUUGGCAGAGAAGAACUCAAUAAAAACAUGAUCACCUUCCUGCAUAAAAAACUGAUAAUCGAUUAAUCACUGAAUAUACAUUUAAAAAACGUGAUCACCUUCCUGCAUAAAAAAACUGAUAAUCGAUUGAUCACUGAAUAUAUAUUUAAUCACUGAAGAGAACUAUAUUUAAAGACUGAAGAAACACUAGAGUGAACUGAAGAUACUCAUAAUAAUAUCAUAUGAUUGAAUGAACAACUGAACAAUGAUGCAUGCUCUCUGAACAUUGACUGAGUCAACUCUCUGAACAUUGGCUGAUACUACUAAUGAACAUGAUACAUAAUUUAGACUAGCAGAAGAUGUGACGAUGAUUUGAGCAAUUACUAAAACUGAAAUACUGAAACUGAAGAGAACACUCAGUAUUCAACUAAAUGAAACAUCAAUGAAAUGAGAACCAAAGAUUUUGGAAGCUCCAUUUCAGAGUGACUGAAAAAUGAACAAAUGGAAGCUAAAAGACUGAAAAUAAAGAAAAGACCCAAAACUGACCAACAAUGAAGAAGUACAGUGAUAACUGAAAAAUAACUGUCUGAAAAAUGAUAUAUGACUAAAAUCUCAGGACUAUAACACUAAACCUAAAAUGACACUGAACCUAAAAUACAGAAAUCUAAAACUAAAAUAACUAUGGAUCAAGAACUAUAUAUACUUAAAUAACAACAAGCAACACUACACUGAAAUCGUACUCAAGAAUGCACAAUGAAUCUGAAACAGAUGAAUGAUAGAAAGAAAAAAUAAUACUGACGAACACACACUGAAUAUGACUUGAAGAACUUGAUUACUGAAUCCGAAGCAGAAAACUGAUGGAAAAUAGAGGACUGAUAGAAAGAAUACCAAGAAGACUGAGAAGAAUACCAAGAGGACUAAGGAAUAAAGAUAACUAAUGACUGAAAACUAAGAAAGAAGAAGCAUAGACUUAAGAGUGAGAGAAUGUAAGACAAGGUGAAACACAUAACUGAAAGACAAAAUAACACUGAAUAAGACUGAAGAUAAACUAAAGAACUAGCUGAAAGAUUGACCCAAACAUACGACAUUUGAAAGAAUGCACGUGAAUACACCCAAGAAUGAAGACAUAAUGUGAGCUAAGAUAACUCUCUAGUUAUCGGACAAGAUAAAAGAACAUGUGGUCAUUCAGAAAGCCUUUUCAAAAAAGGAUCCGGACACUGGACAUCAAACAUACUGGUGCUGUUAUGGAGUAACUCAUAACUGAAGGAGUGUCUUAACAUCUAUUCAUUCAGUUUCAGAGGUGGCAAAAAAAGAAAAAAUACAGACGACUGAAUAUGAAAUUUGACGCUGCCAAGGGAUAUUUUAAGCUAACAAUCAUCUGGGGGAGAAAAUAUUUUGCAUUUCAAGGACAAGUCUGCUGUUCCUGCAAACUCAUCGAUGCACAUGACAAAAAGACGAGCGAGUUGUUCGUUCAGGUUCAGAUAACCAAACAGACUUACAUACUGAAUUACAAGAAAAAAACAUUAAAAAAAGACAAGUGUAUAAGGAAGAAAACAUCGAUCCAAAAGCACAUGUAUGAGCACAGAUAACUAAACUUUCCACUUCCCACUUAUGCAGACUAAAAGAGGGUAACUGGAAGAAAUUCCAUCAGUGUACACUAGUUUCAGAACAAUCUACUGCCUGGUUAGUUGGUGCAUAACACUACAUUCAGAUGAUCCCCAAGCCAUUCUCUACGUAAUCACUCAACUCUCUGAAAACAAAUCACAUCCAUUACUAACUAAAAGCCAUCAAAAAUCAAGCUGACAACAAAAGUGGCACCCUACAAUUUCUCCACAUUAGUACUCCUGCAGAAGAAAAAAACGCAUACAUUCAGUUACCUAUCCUCUGACCAUCUACAGACAUUCCUUGGGCUUCUAAAAAAUCUUAUAGGGUAACACACUAUAUGUGGAAAAUUCAAUCAGACCGAAAAUGAGGUGUAAAUCCAGAACAAAAGAGUACUACAUUCAAGACAAAGUUAAGGCCUACUUAGUGAAAGAAAAUUGGGGGACACACAUAUACAGGUGCCUGCAGCAAAUUCAAGGGCGUUCUCUGAUGAACCACUCAAAAACUCCUCCAGGAUUGAAGACAUUCAUGGGCGUUUCUUUCUACCACACACCUUCCUGGCCGAAACUACAAAACAACUAAACCACCUCCUGCUAUGGAGGUCUGUGAGCGGUGACAAUCACGACGAGCUGAAAAUUCAGAGGGCAUAGACAUAUAGAACAGAAAAAAGAGCAGCGGGGAGGAGCGUGAUACCUUGCGCCCCGACGGCGCCGACGACUACCGUCGCACCCACCGACUGAAGCUUGCUGGUGGCGAACAUGGCGGCGCAGCUCCGCCGAGCUCCUCUCCAAACCGACAUCUGACCUGCGUGCAGCCGGCCCUGUGGAGCACGCCUCCUGCUUACAAGCUCUCCACGCGGAGGACUCGGCGCGCGCCAUCUCCGUUGCUAAACACCGGCGAGGACGCCCCCGCCUCCGCCCUCGCCUUCCCUCCGCCGUCUCUGCCCCGCCUCGGCCCAACCCCACCAAUCCCCUCCUCAGAUACAACAAAG
rnacentral:lncRNA from 1 species